rnacentral:rRNA from 1 species
AUUGAACGCUGGCGGCAGGCCUAACACAUGCAAGUCGAACGAGUGGCGGACGGGUGAGUAAUGUCUGGGAAACUGCCCGAUGGAGGGGGAUAACUACUGGAAACGGUAGCUAAUACCGCAUACCAUCGGAUGUGCCCAGAUGGGAUUAGCUAGUAGGUGGGGUAACGGCUCACCUAGGCGACGAUCCCUAGCUGGUCUGAGAGGAUGACCAGCCACAUUUGAACAGGGCCACGUUCCAGACUCCUACGGGAGGCAGCAGUGGGGAAUAUUGCACAAUGGGUGCAAGCCUGAUGCAUCCAUGCCGAGUGUAUGAAGAAGGCCUUCGGGUUGUAAAGGACUUUCAGCGGGGAGGCGUUACCCGCAGAAGAAGCACCGGCGAACUCCGUGCCAGCAGCCGCGGUAAUUC